GUGGGAUGAAGCUCUCGGAGUGUAAACCACUGUCGGAAGGGACGAACGAUCAUGGCUCAAAUAGCGCCAUGGUUUGACGGUACCUUCAGAGGAAGCUCCGGCUAACUCCGUGCCAGCAGCCGCGGUAAUACGGGGGGAGCGAGCGUUGUUCGGAAUCACUGGGCGUAAAGGGUGCGCAGGCGGGAGACUAAGUCGGAUGUGAAAACCUCGGGCUCAACCCGAGGCCGGCAUUCGAAACUGAUCUUCUUGAGUAUCGGAGAGGAAAGCGGAGCUCCAGGUGUAGCGGUGAAAUGCGUAGAUAUCUGGAGGAACACCUGUGGCGAAGGCGGCUUUCUGGCCGAAUACUGACGCUCAUGCACGAAGGCUAGGGGAGCAAACAGGAUUAGAUACCCUGGUAGUCCUAGCGGUAAACGAUGGGCACUAGGUGUCGGGGGUAUCGACCCCCUCGGUGCCGCAGCUAACGCAUUAAGUGCCCCGCCUGGGGAAUACGAUCGCAAGAUUG
rnacentral:rRNA from 1 species